rnacentral:rRNA from 1 species
UGUGUGUUAGUGGAAGCGUCUGGAAAGGCGCGCGAUACAGGGUGACAGCCCCGUACACAAAAAUGCACAUGCUGUGAGCUCGAUGAGUAGGGCGGGACACGUGGUAUCCUGUCUGAAUAUGGGGGGACCAUCCUCCAAGGCUAAAUACUCCUGACUGACCGAUAGUGAACCAGUACCGUGAGGGAAAGGCGAAAAGAACCCCGGCGAGGGGAGUGAAAAAGAACCUGAAACCGUGUACGUACAAGCAGUGGGAGCACGCUUAGGCGUGUGACUGCGUACCUUUUGUAUAAUGGGUCAGCGACUUAUAUUCUGUAGCAAGGUUAACCGAAUAGGGGAGCCGAAGGGAAACCGAGUCUUAACUGGGCGUUAAGUUGCAGGGUAUAGACCCGAAACCCGGUGAUCUAGCCAUGGGCAGGUUGAAGGUUGGGUAACACUAACUGGAGGACCGAACCGACUAAUGUUGAAAAAUUAGCGGAUGACUUGUGGCUGGGGGUGAAAGGCCAAUCAAACCGGGAGAUAGCUGGUUCUCCCCGAAAGCUAUUUAGGUAGCGCCUCGUGAAUUCAUCUCCGGGGGUAGAGCACUGUUUCGGCAAGGGGGUCAUCCCGACUUACCAACCCGAUGCAAACUGCGAAUACCGGAGAAUGUUAUCACGGGAGACACACGGCGGGUGCUAACGUCCGUCGUGAAGAGGGAAACAACCCAGACCGCCAGCUAAGGUCCCAAAGUCAUGGUUAAGUGGGAAACGAUGUGGGAAGGCCCAGACAGCCAGGAUGUUGGCUUAGAAGCAGCCAUCAUUUAAAGAAAGCGUAAUAGCUCACUGGUCGAGUCGGCCUGCGCGGAAGAUGUAACGGGGCUAAACCAUGCACCGAAGCUGCGGCAGCGAC